CCAGGCCUGGAGCAGGGAAGGAAAGGAUGAAAGGGGACGAGACCCCUUGUCUCUGAAGUUUCUUAACUUCUAUGUUCCCUCCCCUCUCUCUGACAUUCCUGAAAGAUUACCAGCCAGCAAUCGCCCAGGGCUCCCCCAAAAGAAUUGUUUUAGAUUGUAAUUACCAGUUAGGCAAUGUUUUUAAAACUUAGUAAUGAGAAACUGUGAAAAGAGCCAAGUGUUACAUUGAGCUUGGGGUGGGAGAUUGGGGAACAGGCUGUAAAGGAGGGAGGCAGGGGUGGAAUUCAUCUUCCGGAAGGAAGCAGGAGAGAGCACACAGAGAAAUUGAAAUACCCAUUCCCAGGUAGUCAAAACCAUGAACUUUCCCCUAGCCUGCCCAGUACUGUUUUCAAAUACUGCCCCUGAGAAGGCCCUUUGAAGAGUGAGCUCCUCAUCUUUGACCAUGAAAUGGUUUAAAUGGGGGAACUUGUACCAACUGUUAAAGAAUGUUUUGGGUUAUCCUAAGUGGUUUGCUCUCUCCCCAUCUAAACCUGUUGCUUAUUUGGUUCAGAGAACUACAAACUGUCCAAGAAUGGGUGAGAAUGAUAAUAAAUGCUAAUAUAAAAUGCUAAGAAAAUAAAAAAAGGACUUGGCCAGGAGAAAUAAUUUAAAAUGCACAUUUGCUUUGGAUGCACUGUUGUUCUGAUAAGGCUGUAUAUAUUUGUUUAUUUAAGGUGACUGAAAGUGCAAAGAGGAAAUGGACAGCAUGCAAUUCAUCUUAAUGUACAAAACGUUAUAUGCACUCAAAUGUUAUAAUUUCUAAUAUUUUUAAAGUUUAUAUUCGAGUUGUACAAAGUUAAGCAUUAAUCAGAUAUUUCAUUCUUUCAUAAAGUUAUCAUUUUCUUAAAUAUUAUUACAAAAUUUUAAGUCUGUCUAAUGGAGAGUUUUCUUUUAAACUGUCUACCUCACUAUAAUACAAAUAUUUACAACACUAAAGUUACCAGAGGUCAAUUAAUAUUCAAAACAUUUUUAUAGUACACCUUUCCUGGAUGAUAUACGAUCUGAUUAAUACUAUAUUAUUAAACUCAUUUCCCCCUUAAUAACUCAG
rnacentral:lncRNA from 1 species